UGGGGUAUUAAUAUUGGAGGAAGCCAGGAAGCUCAGCGGUGUGUUUACUGCUGCGGACAAUUUUGCCUCGAAUAGGGAAGGAAACAGAAGCGAAUAAUGGUCUGACUGCUAAUUAAAGCUACCAUCUAUGUGGUGAGGAGGAUCCGGGCUUCCAUUGCUGAGGGAGAGCAGCUGGAAAAGCCCAUCAUCACACCAUGUAGUGCAAUAGGUAGGACAGUAACAACAGCAGCUACUGCAACUUGGACAAGGAACACCUAAAGGGAAAUAGUAGAGCGUUAUUAGAACUGUGGAAUUCUCUUAAAUUAGCAGCUAUCUUACCUUUUGCAGGACAGUCUGCUUCCUGGUUAGUCUUCGGAGAAUGUCAGACUUUUGUUAAAUGUUGACAGAACUGUGCCCUUAUUACUAUUUAACAUUUUAGUGAGUCUGUACUUUCCAAAAAUCAUGAUUUUGUGAUAUUAUAUAUAUGUAUUCAACAAGCAUCUAACACUUUUAGUACAUUGACCUGCUCUGAUGUCAGUGGUCCCGCUUUAGCUAAGCAUUAUGUCAUGAAGCAUGUUUAUAAGAUUAGAGGUAUUAGAGGUAAAGACGGAGUGUCCACGUAAGAUCAUUAUAGUGUACAUGUCACCGACCCCCAUGCAUUUCUCUUUUCUACUCAGCUGACAUGAGGGCGGGUGGCAAGUCUAGUGGAAACGGCCUACCUGCUGCACUAAACUCAGGACCUGAUGAAGGUGCUGGUGGAGCAGCAGGCUCGGGGACGUCCUCGGAGACAGCCGUGCAGAAAUGUGGCUCCUGACGUUAAAGAUCAGGCUGGACACUGGGACUGUGGUCAACUCGGUGGCACAAUUUAAUUUGUUUUAUGUGCAUUUUUGCAGCACAGGACAGCAUAAUGGUGUCAAUACAAAAAUAUCUAAACUAAGUUAUGUAAUAUGAAGUCAUUAUUUACGUUACUGUGUCUGUGUUGUUCCCAGUAUCCAAUGUCCAGCUCAGGGUGACUCACAUGUUGGCCUUUUUCACAGCGGACAUUUUGACUUCCCACCACCGCAGCAAAAAAAGGUGCAACUAAUAACAAUAAGUAGUGAAUCUUCUGCAUUUGAUUUUGCUGGUGAGCUGCCACGCAAAAUGCUACAGGGCCUUGCUUUUAUAUGUAAAAAUCUAGUGAAGACAUCUAUGCCAUUAAGUGUGUGUGAUUUAGUCAACAUGUAUUCUGUGAGAAAGGCCUGAAUUUAUGUGCUGCAGCAUUUGAAGGUCCGCUCACCAACCUCUCUCCAGGGGCUGAGCAGGUCUGAUGUUUCUGUCGGUACAUCAAUAAAUUUUAAGAAAAUA
ensembl:lncRNA